AUUGAACGCUGGCGGCAUGCCUUACACAUGCAAGUCGAACGGUAACGGGCCUUCGGGUGCCGACGAGUGGCGAACGGGUGAGUAAUACAUCGGAACGUGCCCGAUCGUGGGGGAUAACGAGGCGAAAGCUUUGCCAAUACCGCAUACGAUCUACGGAUGAAAGCAGGGGACCGCAAGGCCUUGCGCGGACGGAGCGGCCGAUGGCAGAUUAGGUAGUUGGUGGGAUAAAAGCUUACCAAGCUGACGAUCUGUAGCUGGUCUGAGAGGAUGAUCAGCCACACUGGGACUGAGACACGGCCCAGACUCCUACGGGAGGCAGCAGUGGGGAAUUUUGGACAAUGGGCGCAAGCCUGAUCCAGCCAUGCCGCGUGCAGGAUGAAGGCCUUCGGGUUGUAAACUGCUUUUGUACGGAACGAAAAGCCUUCUUUUAAUACAGGAGGGUCAUGACGGUACCGUAAGAAUAAGCACCGGCUAACUACGUG
rnacentral:rRNA from 1 species